AUUGAACGCUGGCGGCAGGCCUAACACAUGCAAGUCGAGCGGCAGCGGGAAAGUAGCUUGCUACUUUUGCCGGCGAGCGGCGGACGGGUGAGUAAUGCCUGGGAAAUUGCCCAGUCGAGGGGGAUAACAGUUGGAAACGACUGCUAAUACCGCAUACGCCCUACGGGGGAAAGCAGGGGACCUUCGGGCCUUGCGCGAUUGGAUAUGCCCAGGUGGGAUUAGCUAGUUGGUGAGGUAAUGGCGCACCAAGGCGACGAUCCCUAGCUGGUCUGAGAGGAUGAGCAGCCACACUGGAACUGAGACACGGUCCAGACUCCUACGGGGGGCAGCAGUGGGGAAUAUUGCACAAUGGGGGAAACCCUGAUGCAGCCAUGCCGCGUGUGUGAAGAAGGCCUUCGGGUUGUAAAGCACUUUCAGCGAGGAGGAAAGGUUGAUGCCUAAUACGUAUCAACUGUGACGUUACUCGCAGAAGAAGCACCGGCUAACUCCGUGCCAGCAGCCGCCGUAACAC
rnacentral:rRNA from 1 species